UGAUGUCUGUGAAAGUAACAUGCUAACUUUGUAUAAUGAUACUUGGAUAAUUGGUUGGUUCUACCCUUAAGGAGGAAUGAGAGAUGACUGCCUCCAUUCAAUGCCUUCUGCCUCAAGCAGGAAUUCAUAGAAUCCUUUUGUGUCCUGUAUAAACAAGGCUGUAAAGCAGCACACCAUUGUACUAUUAAGACGUUCUAGUUUUUCUGAUCAUUAAUGAGAUUGGACUGUUGCAGAUGAGUCAGAUAGUUUGGGUGCCUUGUUUAAGAACUGCAAUCUUGAUGCUGCAGUUCCUGAUUUUAUAUUUUCUUCAGAUCUCAAUAUUUAUGCAAGGUAAGGCAUGCUCACACUGCUGAGUUACCUGUGACUUCAAUUCACCUCCACAAAAAUUCAGUAAGAAAAUUUCUUUAGUUUAGCUAGUCAUAGCAUGGAAAUGGAGAGCAAAGAAAAUGGGGGGGGGGAUGAGAGGGGGUGUUACCCUUCUUGACAUUGGCUGGAGCAGAAGUUAAUUAACCUACACCUUUUAAAAUCCUUAGAAGGGUAGCCAUAUGGAGCUUGCCAGGAGCAUCCCAAGCCCUAGGAACUAUAAGAAAAAUUAUCGAGCCCCCUCACACUCCAGGAUCUAUGCUCGUGGACACCCACACGCAGGAAGGCCCCUAGCAGCAGAGAAUUGCAAACUUUUUGCUGGGGUCUGAGGCGCGGAAUAGAGAGGUUGGCGUAGGGAGCAAAGGGGCAGCUCCCUAGGACAAGACAGCCCAUGGAGGAUGCAGGAACGUUUCCGCCCCCCUUUGAUACAGCCCGCGGGUUUUUUAAUUAUGCUCCAUAGGCGACGUGACGCAAACACGCUCGGAUUCAUGACGUCAUGUCACAAACGACACUAGCGUCACAAAGCAGAAAUUUGAAGUCUCUCUCCCCUCACUUAUUUUCUCCGGUUCCGGUGGGUUUUCCCCGCCAUUUAGUCUGCGGGUAGGGGUCGGUUUUCUGUCCAGACGCCCUGCAACUUGAGUCCUCCCGGCCAGGCCAUACCCCCAAAGCCAGCGCCCCUAGGCAGAGCCUCUUGCCCGCGCCAGUCGGCUUCCUUCUCCAGGAGACUUGGGAAGGGAGUUGGUUUGCCAGGGAAUCGGGGCUACCGCCGCCCCGCAGAGCAACGCACGCAGCGAGCGCCGAAGGACCGGGCAGCGAGCGCCGAAGGACCGGGCACUGGCGCUGACGACGCCUCAGGGGGUCCGGGCGGGGACAAGCGUGUGACGGGGCGCCUGGGAUGGCAGGUACGGCGCGGAGCUGGGCUCAGACGAUGCCUCCGGCGACUGAAUAAUCCCUCGCCCUAACCCUAGCCAGGCCUCAUCGCCCUACGGCUGAGCCGAGCGGCGGUUGGUUCACCACAGCCCCGGUACCGCAGCCCGCCCAGCAGGGGGGACCCGGCUCUUACCCAGCUCCCUCUCCAUUGCUGGCCGCAGGCGCUUGGGGUCCUGCCGGCUUAGCCCCGCCUCCUGUGGCCGGCACUCGAUUCGGCCUGGGCCUCGGGGCGCAAGGAUCCGGGAUUCCCCUCGCAACAGCGGUUACGCCUGUGCGGCAGCGCAGCGUCUCGUGACUACCUUCUCGGCCGGGAGCCAUCUUGCUCCGCGAAAGAACUAGUUCCUAGUUCUUGCUGCUUCCUUCCCAGGUGCCAGGGCGGGAAACCCCGCUGAGGGCCCAGUUGGCCACACCGCGGCCCGCCCAGCAGCCGAGCCUCAGGAAACGCAGCCGCGCGGUAGCAAGGCCGGGAGAGGCCUCGCUGGCACGUGGAGGGGCAGGUGCGGCUGAGCCAGGCCCGUGGCAGCAGGGUGAUGGGGCAGGAAGACGGAUUAAUACCCCAGCCCCCGCGAAAUGGCAAUUUAAGGGAAAAUAUUAACGGGUCACCAUAAACCCAGUGCGCGCUACUAUCGCUACCCUACGUCACCCCAGGGAGCUGGGGCGGCGGCAUCACUGCAGCGUUCAGGGAGCUGCCCUGUCCCCUUCCGCGGGGAAGUGUCCGUUUAGGGCCAGGGCCGGGGAGAGGAAGCGCUGCCCGCUCCAGCCCUUACCCUUGUUAAAAAACGCUUAACGGGGCACGAGCCCUGAGCCUAGAAUUGUGUUAAAAGGGGGUGAGCGCCCGGCCCUAAAACAACUUUGCCCCGUAUUUUUACAUUCUUAAACAAGCAGCACGGAGCCUGGUUUAAUGCCCCAACUGCAGCCUUAAGAAUAAAUGGGAAAUUACGUUCCACGCCGCCCGUUAGCCAAGCGAAGAUGAAGGCAGGCAGUAAAGAAGCUGUAGAAAUUGGCACAGGCUGGGUAGAGGAGGGAGUUUUAACACCUUUACAACACAAACAAUUAUAAUGAACGCUUUAAGGUAAAGAAACAUGUAGUCAUAGAAGCAAAGUCAAAUCUCUAUUAUAAGGUGUAAGCCUAAAUGUUUUAAAGAGACUGUUGUUUCUAGAGCAGUUGUUAAAAGGAGUAAAAUUGAUAACUAUUAAAAAAAAAUU